ensembl:lncRNA
GUGAAAGUGAAACCACUGCCCCUGGUCACGUAAGAGACAGAGACAGAGCUCGUCUGUGGUGCAUCUUCAGAUAGAAUAAAAUGGAGCGUGACAGCGGAUAUGGGACAAAGAGCUCUGGCAGCAGCUCUGAACGAGAACGAACUCAGUACGAGCCUCAGGAGGAGAGGAGGAGCAUAUUUGACUUGUAUCUGUCCCUGUAUGAAGACUCUGAGUCUGGACAAAGAAGUGUCCUGGUCAAAUACAAUUCCGAGUCAAUAGGAGUCCGUGGAAACUUUUGAACCACCCAAGAUGAGGCUGCAGUCGGUUUGGAUCAUAAUGAAGAGUUCAGUCCAGAGACUCAAGUGUUUAUGCCUCAGUGACUUAAUCCAGCACCAGAGGGUUUUUAAUCUUAUGUGAUUUUAACGAGGAAGAUCAGGUUUUCAAAAUGACAAACUGGGACACACCCAGGAUGGGAUGAUUAUAAAUAAAGUAAAAAUAAAAUUGUAAAAAAAAAAAAAAUGAACUUAAUCUUAACUUAAACUUAACUUAUUUGUGAGUCAGUUUAAUGUGACAGACUUCAGUUUAAUGUGAGACUUCAGUUUAAUGUGAGACUUCAGUUUAAUGUGAGACUUCAGUUUAAUGUGAGACUUCAGUUUAAUGUGACAGACUUCAGUUUAAUGUGACAGACUUCAGUUUAAUGUGAGACUUCAGUUUAAUGUGACAGACUUCAGUUUAAUGUGACAGACUUCAGUUUAAUGUGAGACUUCAGUUUAAUGUGAGACUUCAGUUUAAUGUGACAGACUUCAGUUUAAUGUGAGACUUCAGUUUAAUGUGAGACUUCAGUUUAAUGUGACAGACUUCAGUUUAAUGUGAGACUUCAGUUUAAUGUGAGACUUCAGUUUAAUGUGACAGACUUCAGUUUAAUGUGAGACUUCAGUUUAAUGUGACAGACUUCAGUUUAAUGUGACAGACUUCAGUUUAAUGUGAGACUUCAGUUUAAUGUGACAGACUUCAGUUUAAUGUGACAGACUUCAGUUUAAUGUGAGACUUCAGUUUAAUGUGAGACUUCAGUUUAAUGUGAGACUUCAGUUUAAUGUGACAGACUUCAGUUUAAUGUGAGACUUCAGUUUAAUGUGACAGACUUCAGUUUAAUGUGACAGACUUCAGUUUAAUGUGACAGACUUCAGUUUAAUGUGAC